rnacentral:lncRNA from 1 species
UAUCUGUCAUCUCAAUUUUUCCAUUAUCAAAGUCUACAAACACUUAAAUGACUCCAAGAAGGUCAAUUCUCAAUCAAAUGCUUCUAAAGCCGCUAAUUUCAAAUUCUCUGCUAAAGUAGAGAGUAUCAUUGGUGUUACUUUUGGAAGCUUUAGAGCUAUUACAAAGAGUAAGGCUACCAUGCUAGGACAACAAACACAUCAAGUGUCUUCUGCGCUAUCUCCA